rnacentral:lncRNA from 1 species
UAAUUGCCAGACACUUAGACGACCAACCACCAGAGCCAUUGAUACUUGAUCGCAUACCACCACCAGCAAAUCUCCAAGAUGGCUGUCUGUCCACGGCAUGCAUCCCAGGCCCCUCAUCCUCAUGCCAGCCACUGCAUUCUGAUCUGAUCUGAAACCCGAAUGCAUUCUGAUCUGACAAACAGUAUACUCAACGCCCCCCUGAUCAUUAUCCAAACAAGAGAACAAGCAUUCCAAUCAAACAGUUGCCGUGACCCGGCACAUUCCAUUCUGGCAGCUGUCGGGUGGCAUCUUCCCUGUUCUUCAGAACAUGCGUUCGGAUUUUAGAACAGGGGGGGCUGGGGCCUGGGUGGCUGCCAGGUGGGUCCGGCCCAGCUGUACGUUCGUUAGGCAAGCUGAGCCAACCACCGGGUCCCAAUCAUUCCUUCCCGGCAUGAGAUGGCAAGAUAAAGAAUGCAAAUGCCCUUGCACUGUCGCUGCACGUCUGCUGUACAGCUCUCCAACCGUGUCCUGCACAGCUGCACUGUUGCCAAAGGAGUCAAACCGUCCGUUCAUCAAUAGUAGUUGCAGCACGGCCAAUCAUGCAUUUGCAAUCGCAAUGUGAUAGAGAUAGAGAAGAGGGGUGGCAUCAGGGUCAAAAAAAAAAAGAAAAAUUAGCCGAAUCUGUUGAGCUCAGCUGGUCAGCAACGACCGAUUCAUCAGUAGUGGUAAAGUUACCAGCUA